rnacentral:lncRNA from 1 species
AUGACAGUCUCUUUCCCACCUCCCAGAAGAGGAUGAGAAUAAAUCCAGCGAUAAUGGGAAGAGUGUGAUGUGAGGCAGAGCUAACAUCACAGAGAUCCCAGGGAACAUUAUUUUUCCCUCUCCUUUCUAAAGACACCAUAAAAAGCUCCAGAUUUUUCUUUCUGAGUGGUGACUGCUUUAAAGAAUAUAAAAUCUGAGAUACUGUGAACCCCCACAUGAUUUCACCUCUGGCAACUGAUGUGAGACACAGUGAUGGGACUUCAUGGUUGUUAUAUUUGACUUGCAGCCUUGGG